rnacentral:rRNA from 2 species
CCUGCCCUGUGACUAUAUGUUUAACGGCCGCGGUAUCUUGACCGUGCGAAGGUAGCGCAAUCACUUGUCUUUUAAAUAGGGACCUGUAUGAAUGGCAUAACGAGGGCUUAACUGUCUCCUUUUUCAAGUCAAUGAAAUUGAUCUCCCCGUGCAGAAGCGGGGAUAAACCCAUAAGACGAGAAGACCCUGUGGAGCUUUAGACACCAAGGCAGAUCACGUUAAGCACCCCCCAAUACGGGAUCAAACUAAGUGAGCCCUGCCCUAUGUCUUCGGUUGGGGCGACCAUGGGGUAAAGCAAACCCCCCACGCGGAGAGAGAGUACAACCCUCCCAAAACCAAGAGUUCCCACUCUAAUGAACAGAAUUUCUGACCUAAAGAUCCGGCAAAGCCGAUCAACGGACCAAGUUACCCCAGGGAUAACAGCGCAAUCCUCUUUUAGAGCCCAUAUCGACAAGGGGGUUUACGACCUCGAUGUUGGAUCAGGACAUCCUAAUGGUGCAGCCGCUAUUAAGGGUUCGUUUGUUCAACGAUUAAAGUCCUACGUGAUCU